rnacentral:misc_RNA from 1 species
AAGUCGUAACAAGGUCUCCGUAGGUGAACCUGCGGAGGGAUCAUUACUGAGUGCGGGGGUUAGUUGUUCCCCGACCUCCGACCCUUUGUCGAACCAUUAUCAUUGUUGCUUCGGGGGUCGUAUCCCUGGGCCAUUCCGUGGCCAUUUCCCCCGGGAGGUCCCGAGUCAAAUCAACUGCAUUCUUACGUCGGAGUAAAAAGGUUAAUUUAAUAAAA